rnacentral:rRNA from 1 species
UACGGAGGGGGCUAGCGUUGUUCGGAAUUACUGGGCGUAAAGCGCGCGUAGGCGGCUUUGUAAGUUAGAGGUGAAAGCCCGGGGCUCAACCCCGGAAUUGCCUUUAAGACUGCAUCGCUUGAAUUGUGGAGAGGUAAGUGGAAUUCCGAGUGUAGAGGUGAAAUUCGUAGAUAUUCGGAAGAACACCAGUGGCGAAGGCGACUUACUGGACACAUAUUGACGCUGAGGUGCGAAAGCGUGGGGAGCAAACAGG